rnacentral:rRNA from 1 species
UACGUAGGGUGCAAGCGUUGUCCGGAAUUAUUGGGCGUAAAGAGCUCGUAGGCGGCUUGUCGCGUCGGCUGUGAAAACCUGGGGCUCAACCCCGGGCCUGCAGCCGAUACGGGCAGACUAGAGUUCGGCAGGGGAGACUGGAAUUCCUGGUGUAGCGGUGAAAUGCGCAGAUAUCAGGAGGAACACCGGUGGCGAAGGCGGGUCUCUGGGCCGAUACUGACGCUGAGGAGCGAAAGCGUGGGGAGCGAACAGG